rnacentral:rRNA from 1 species
UACGAAGGAUCCAAGCGUUGUCCGGAUUUACUGGGUUUAAAGGGAGCGUAGGCGGUCUCAUAAGUCAGUGGUGAAAGCCUUCAGCUUAACUGAAGAAUUGCCAUUGAAACUGCGAGACUCGAGUAUGGUUGAGGUCACUGGAAUAUAACAUGUAGCGGUGAAAUGCUUAGAUAUGUUAUAGAACACCAAUUGCGAAGGCAGGUGACUAAGCCAUAACUGACGCUGAGGCUCGAAAGCGUGGGGAGCAAACAGG